CUGGAAUUUCUAGUAAGUGCUAGUCAUUAGCUAGCGCUGAUUACGUCCCUGCCCUUGUACACACCGCCCGUCGCUACUACCGAUGGAUUAUUUAGUGAGGUCUCUGGAGGCACACCUUCCGCGAUUCCUUCGUGAGUUGCAGUUGGCACGGCCGAAGUUGACCGAACUUGAUGAUUUA